rnacentral:lncRNA from 1 species
GCCUGUAUGGACUGACAGCACAGAGAUACCGACGUCGGUCUGUACUGACUGACAGCACAGGACCCACUUCGGCCUGUAUGGACUGAUAGCACAGAGACGCCAACGUCAGUCUGUAUGGACUGACAGCACAAAGACCCACAUCGGUGUGUAUGGACUGAGAGCACAGAGACAGCAACAUCAGUCUGUAUUGACUAACGUAACACCAUGGUAACACCAACAUCAGUCUGUAUGGACUGACAGCACAGAGACCCACAUCGGUGUGUAUGGAAUGACAGCACAGAGACACUGAUGUCAGUCUGUAUGGACUGAUAGCACAGGGACCCACAUCGGCCUGUAUGGACUGACAGCACAGAGACAGCAACGUCAGUCUGUAUGGACUGACAUAACACCGUGGUAACACCGACAUCGGUCUGUAUGGAUUGACAGCACAGAGAUCAACAUUGCUCUGUAUGGACUGACAUAACAGCAUAACACCAACAUUGGAGUGUAUGGACUGACAGCACAGAGACACCGAUGUCAGUCUGUAUGGACUGAUAGCACAGAGAUCAACAGUGGUCUGUAUGGACUGACAUAACAGCAUGAUAACACCAACAUUGCUCUGUAUGGACUGACAGCACAGGACCCACUUCAGUGUGUAUGGACUGACUGCACAGAGACCAACAUUGGUCUGUAUGGACUGAUAGCACAGAGAUCAACAUUGCUCUGUAUGGACUGACAUAACAGCAUAACACCAACAUUGGAGUGUAUGGACUGACAGCACAGAGAUCAACAGUGGUCUGUAUGGACUGACAGCACAGAGUCCCACAUUGCUCUGUAUGGACUGACUGCACAGAGACCCACUUCGGUGUCUAUGGACUGACAGCACAGAGACACCAACGUCGGUCUGUACUGACUGACUGCACAGAGACCCACAUUGGUGUAUAUGGACUGAUAGCACAGAGACCCACAUCGGUCUGUAUGGACUGACAGCACAGAGACACCGAUGUCAGUCUGUAUGGACUGACAGCACAGAGAUCAACAGUGGUCUGUAUGGACUGACAUAACAGCAUGAUAACACCAACAUUGGUCUGUAUGGACUGACAGCACAGGGACACCAACGUUGGUCUGUACCCACUGAUAGAACACCAUAAUAACACCAACAUCAGUGUGUAUGGACUGACAGCACAGAGACCAACAUUGGUCUGUAUGGACUGAUAGCACAGAGAUCAACAUUGCUCUGUAUGGACUGACAUAACAGCAUAACACCAACAUUGGAGUGUAUGGACUGACUGCACAGGGACCCACAUCGGCCUGUAUGGACUGACAGCACAGAGACCAACAUUGCUCUGUAUGGACUGACUGCACAGAGACAGCAACAUCGGUUUAUAUAGACUGACUGCACAGAGACCCACAUCGGUGUGUACAGACUGAUAGCACAGAGACACCAACGUCAGUCUGUAUUGGUGUGUAUGGACUGACAGCACAGAGACCCACAUUGGUGUGUAUGGACUGACAUAACAGUGUGAUAACACCAAUGUCAGUCUGUACCCACUGAUAUAACAUCAUAAUAACACCAACAUCAGUGUGUAUGGACUGAUAUAACGCUGUGAUAACACCAAUGUCAGUCUGUGCCCAUUGAUAUAACACCGUGAUAACACCAACAUCAGUGUGUAUGGACUGAUAUAACGCUGUGAUAACACCAAUGUCAGUCUGUACCCACUGAUAUAACAUCAUAACACCAACAUCAGUGUGUAUGGACUGCUAUAAUGCUGUGAUAACACCAGUGUCAGUCUGUGCCCAUUGAUAUAACACCGUGAUAACACCAACAUCAGUGUGUAUGGACUGAUAUAACACCGUGAUACCACCAACGUCAGUCUGUAUGGACUGACAGCACAGAGACACCGACGUUGGUCUGUAAGGACUGACGUAACAGCAUGAAAGCACCAACAUCAGGCUGUACUGACUGACAUAACACCAUGAGGACACCAACAUCAGUCUGUUCCGACUGACACAACAGCAUGGCAGCACCAAUAUCGGCCUGUAUGGACUGUUGUAACACUGUGAUGGCCCCAAUGUCAGCCUGUACUGCCUGAUAUAACACCACGAUAACACUGACAUCAGCCUGUACUGCCUGAUAUAACACCAUAGCACUGACAUCAGCCUGUACUGCCUGAUAUAACACUGUGAUAACACUGACAUCAGCCUGUACUGCCUGAUAUAACACCGUGAUAACACUGACAUCAGCCUGUACUGCCUGAUAUAACACCGUGAUAACACUGACAUCAGCCUGUACUGCCUGAUAUAACACUGUGAUAACACUGACAUCAGCCUGUACUGCCUGAUAUAACACCAUAACACUGACAUCAGCCUGUACUGCCUGAUAUAACACCACCAUAACACUGACAUCAGCCUGUACUGCCUGAUAUAACACCGUGAUAACACUGACAUCAGCCUGUACUGCCUGAUAUAACACCAUGAUAACACUGACAUCAGCCUGUACUGCCUGAUAUAACACUG